rnacentral:rRNA from 1 species
AUGGAACGCAAAGCCAGUACUGCACGAAGUGACCUAGAGCAGAUGUUAGCCGAUGAAACCGCAGAGCCCAAGGCCCUGCCAUUAUCACUUUUACAGGACAUUACAGGUGAUUUCUGUGAUGACCAACAGAUUGGAAGCGGUGGAUUUGCAGUCGUUUAUAAGGGAAUAAUUGGCAAUAGGGCGGUCGCCGUGAAGAGGCUGUCCAACGCUUUAAUGGAUGAAACGGAAUUUCAUCGAGAGGUUCAAUGCCUCAUGCGGGUCAAGCACAAAAAUGUAGUAAGAUUUUUAGGAUACUGCGCUGACAGGCAAGGAAGUAUGGAAGAAUUUGACAAGAAACUUGUCAUGGUAGAUGUUCAUGAAAGAUUGCUUUGCUUCGAAUAUAUACCUAAUGGCAGUCUUGAUAAGUAUAUCAUGGAUGCAAGUCGUGAGUGGGGAACGUGCUAUAAAAUCAUUAAAGGGAUUUGUGAGGGUCUACAGUACCUUCAUGAGAAUCAUAUUGUCCAUUUGGAUCUGAAACCAGCCAAUAUACUGCUUGAUGAUAACAUGGCACCAAAAAUAACUGAUUUUGGUCUGUCGAGAUGCUUCGACGAAAAUCAAAGUCGGGAUAUUACCAAAACUAUUUUGGGGACAAUGGGAUAUUUGGCGCCAGAACAUCGCGAAGGUGGUGUGAUUGCACACAGCGCUGACUUGUAUAGUCUUGGUGUUAUCAUCAUUGAAAUACUGACUGGGCAGAAGGGGUAUCAAGCUACCGACGAUGUAAUUGAAAGUUGGAGUGAUAGGUUGGAGGGAUCCCAACGAGAUACGCUAUGCAAACAAAUACGAGUAUGCUACGAGACAGCUUUAGAGUGCAGAGACUUCGAUCCAAAGAAAAGGCCAACUAGUGCACUAACUAUAGUUGAUAGACUUCAUGAAAUGGAAACUAUCCAGAUAACACUUAGAUUCUUGGGUUGGAAUCAUUUGAUCUGCUAA